rnacentral:tRNA from 1 species
AGCCCCGUGGUGUAGCGGUCAAAUUCCCCUAAAAGGAAGGCGAAGCAUAGGGCCCUCUGGAGGCUCUGACGGCAGUUCGAAUCUGCCCGGGGCUA